AGUGAACGCUGGCGGUAGGCCUAACACAUGCAAGUCGAACGGCAGCACAGUAAGAGCUUGCUCUUACGGGUGGCGAGUGGCGGACGGGUGAGGAAUACAUCGGAAUCUACUUUUUCGUGGGGGAUAACGUAGGGAAACUUACGCUAAUACCGCAUACGACCUACGGGUGAAAGCAGGGGAUCUUCGGACCUUGCGCGAUUGAAUGAGCCGAUGUCGGAUUAGCUAGUUGGCGGGGUAAAGUCCCACCAAGGCGACGAUCCGUAGCUGGUCUGAGAGGAUGAUCAGCCACACUGGAACUGAGACACGGUCCAGACUCCUACGGGAGGCAGCAGUGGGGAAUAUUGGACAAUGGGCGCAAGCCUGAUCCAGCCAUACCGCGUGAGUGAAGAAGGCCUUCGGGUUGUAAAGCCCUUUUGUUGGGAAAGAAAAGCAGCAGGUUAAUACCCCGCUGUUCUGACGGUACCCAAAGAAUAAGCACCGGCUAACUUCGUG
rnacentral:rRNA from 1 species